GGGGAAUUUUGGACAAUGGGCGCAAGCCUGAUCCAGCCAUGCCGCGUGUCUGAAGAAGGCCUUCGGGUUGUAAAGGACUUUUGUCAGGGAAGAAAAGGCUGUUGCUAAUACCGACAGCUGAUGACGGUACCUGAAGAAUAAGCACCGGCUAACUACGUGCCAGCAGCCGCGGUAAUACGUAGGGUGCGAGCGUUAAUCGGAAUUACUGGGCGUAAAGCGAGCGCGGACGGUUACUUAAGCAGGAUGUGAAAUCCCCGGGCUCAACCUGGGAACUGCGUUCUGAACUGGGUGACUAGAGUGUGUCAGAGGGAGGUAGAAUUCCACGUGUAGCAGUGAAAUGCGUAGAGAUGUGGAGGAAUACCGAUGGCGAAGGCAGCCUCCUGGGAUAACACUGACGUUCAUGCUCGAAAGCGUGGGUAGCAAACAGGAUUAGAUACCCUGGUAGUCCACGCCCUAAACGAUGUCAAUUAGCUGUUGGGCAACUUGAUUGCUUAGUAGCGUAGCUAACGCGUGAAAUUGACCGCCUGGGGAGUACGGCCGCAAGGUUA
rnacentral:rRNA from 1 species